GUUUUCGAUCUCCUUUAAAGGCGGUCACACAAUCGGAGGUCAAUCAAGAAUUGGAAAGACAAGAGGUUGAAGAAAUGUUAGAUGAUUGUAUUUAAAUGUAUGCCCUUAAACAGGUUCCCUCUGAGAAAAUAUGCAUUGAGAAAGAGUCUAUAACUGAUGGAAUUUUGGAACUCAUAUCUGAAUUGGGGAUACAGAAAUUGGUGAUGGGUGCAGGAUCUAACAGCAGAUUUUUGAGGAUAAAACCAAAACCCACCUCAGAACAGUCUAAUGAAGUCCUUAAUAAAGCUCCUGAUUUCUGUCAUAUCUGGUUUGUAUACAAGGGUCGUCUAAUAUAUACAAGGGAAGCCACGAAGCAACUGAUCACCGCCUUCUAGAAGAAAAUCAGUUGAACAGAUUGAGCUAUUCAGAACAAUCAGUUGAUUCACCAUCAGCUGAAUCAGCUGGAAGUUUGAAGAUAGAAGGGUGGUGAAAUUUACUAUGGAAGACUUGUCAAGAAAUGAUAAAUGGGCAUGGCGUAAUUUUGGUAAUGGUUAAGGGAAGCGUAGGCCGAAUAAUCGAAUUGUAGAUUCAAAGAUUAUUUUUGUGUGAAUUUAUAUUGUAAAAUUACAU